UGGGUAGAUGGAUAUAUCGCAUGUGAUGUGUUACAGCUGGUGAAAUCCCUCACCUGGUGCUCACUUUUUCAAAGAGGGUAGCUUGGGUAGCACGUGGGUCCAGACACUGAAAAUUCUACUGAGGACUGGCAGUUAUUUCUAGUUUGAAGGAAAAGUGACACUGGCUCAAAAUGAGUGCGAUGUUGGAAACCCCUGAGCUGCCAGCGGUGUUUGAUGGGGUGAAGCUGGCUGCGGUUGCUGCUGUUCUGUAUGUGAUUGUUCGCUGCUUGAAUUUAAAAAGCCCAACUGCCCCUCCUGAACUCAUUUACCAGGACUCUGCUCUGGCCCGCUUUCUACUCAAAUCCUGCCCACUGUUGACCAAAGAGUA
rnacentral:lncRNA from 1 species